ACUUUAUUUUUCCAUUAUUUAUUAUUUUAUUUUUCAUACUUAUUAGUUAUUACUGCAUUUAACAAAUUAAAAAUUUCUUCAAGUGUGCAGUCUAAUUAUAGGAGUUGGAUCCACUCUGAGAAUCUCUUAUUCACAAUCAUCUCUCAAAAUCGAAAGAACAAAAUCUCAUCCUCAUCUCUCAGAAUCACUUAUUCACAAUCGCUUCUUCACUUCUUC
rnacentral:lncRNA from 1 species